UAGGGAAUCUUCCACAAUGGGCGAAGCCUGAUGGAGCAACGCCGCGUGUGUGAUGAAGGCUUUCGGGCCGUAAAGCACUGUUGUAUGGGAAGAACAGCUAGAAUAGGAAAUGAUUUUAGUUUGACGGUACCAUACCAGAAAGGGACGGCUAAAUACGUGCCA
rnacentral:rRNA from 1 species